UCUCCGUAGGUGAACCUGCGGAGGGAUCAUUACAGAGUUCUCGCCCUCGCGGGUCGAUUUCCCACCCCCUGUUAUCGUUACUGUCGUUUCUUUGUCGGGCCCCCGGGUCCCCGGCCGCCGGCGUCUAAUAGGCGGCGCGCGCCCGCCAGAGGCAUUCGAACCCUGAAUCUUAGUGUCGUCUGAGUACUAUAUACUAGUUAAAACUUUCAACAACGGAGCUCUUGGUUCUG
rnacentral:misc_RNA from 1 species